CAAUAGCGUAUAUUAAAGUUGUUGCAGUUAAAAAGCUCGUAGUUGGAUUUCUGGUGGGAGCACGGGUCGGCCUUCACGGGUUGUACUGUUGUUGCGUCCUGCCGUUUCGGAGGGAAUGGUCAUGUUAUUAGGUUAGCGUGAUCGGAAACUCUGUCGUUUACUGUGAAAAAAUCAGAGUGUUUCUAGCAGGCAGCUCGCUCUUGCAUAGGUUAGCAUGGGAUAAUUUAAUAGGACUCUGGUGCUAUUUGUUGGUUUCGAACACCGGAGUAAUGAUUAAAAGGGGCAGUCAGGGGCACUCGUAUUCCGUCGAGAGAGGUGAAAUUCUCAGACCAAUGGAAGACGAACCACUGCGAAAGCAUUUGCCAGGGAUGUUUUCACUGAUCAAGAACGAAAGUUAGGGGAUCGAAGACGAUCAGAUACC
rnacentral:rRNA from 1 species